AGUCUUCUGUAUCCGUGCUGAGAUUUCGUCACACACUAGACCACAAGGGCUGAUGAGACUCUCAAGAUAAGUGAAGCA
rnacentral:pre_miRNA from 1 species